rnacentral:piRNA from 1 species
AGACACUGUGUCUGGGUUGAGUCUAUAGC